UACGUAGGGUGCAAGCGUUAUCGGAAUUACUGGGCGUAAAGCGUGCGCAGGCGGUUAUGUAAGACAGGUGUGAAAUCCCCGGGCUCAACCUGGGAACUGCAUUUGUGACUGCAUGGCUAGAGUACGGUAGAGGGGGAUGGAAUUCCGCGUGUAGCAGUGAAAUGCGUAGAUAUGCGGAGGAACACCGAUGGCGAAGGCAAUCCCCUGGACCUGUACUGACGCUCAUGCACGAAAGCGUGGGGAGCAAACAGG
rnacentral:rRNA from 1 species